rnacentral:rRNA from 1 species
GAAUGCUAAAAGAAUGGAAAUUUAAAAAAAAACUUUUUUAAAAAUAAAAAUUGAAUUUUUUUUAAUUUGUGCAAAAACAAUUAUAUUUAUUAAAGACAAGAAGACCCUAAGAAUUUAAGAUUUUACAAUUAAAAAGUUUUUUUUUAAAAUCUUGAUUGGGGCGAUCAAAAAAUAUUAAUAACUUUUUAAAAUUUAAAUUGAUCUAUUAUUAAUAAACUAAUGAAUUAAAUACUCUAGGGAUAACAGCGUAAUAAUUUUUGAUAGAUCUUAUUGACAAAAUAGUUUGCGACCUCGAUGUUGGAUUAGGAUUCUUUUUUAAUGAAGAAGUUAAAAAAAGAAGUUUGUUCAACUUUUAAAUUCCUACUUGAUCUGAGUUCAGACCG